GUGUAAGAGAAGGGGACACUGAAGCCAAAAAAACCCAGCAUUCUCAUAGACUUAGUCAUGUAUUGCAACAAGCAAUAGAAGACAUUGAUUCCAUUAAAGAAGAGGUGGAGAAAGUCAUGAUGGAGUACAAGCAUGUCAUAGCUGCGCAAGGAAGGAAGACUACACUUGAUGAUGAUGUUAUUCCGAAAUUUGAUGAUGAACUUGUCAAGAUGGACAGUUCCGAUUCCUCCAAUCAUGCUUCACAGACUAAGGACAUAAUGGUUGGGAAAAACAAUGAGUUUGAGACUAUAAGGAAGAUGCUAAUACAACAUCCAUCUAAACAACGAGAAGUUGUCUCAAUUCAAGGUAUGGGAGGAAUUGGCAAGACAACGUUAGCUAGACGAGUUUAUGAAGAUCCAUCUAUUGGCUCCCACUUUGACAAGCAAAUAUGGGUUGUUGUAUCACAACAUCACAAUAAGAGGCAAAUGCUCUUAGAUCUUGUUGCAGGUUCUAAAGACAAUCUAAAAGACAACAGUGAUGAUGACCUAGCAUUACGGCUCUACCAAAGUUUGAAGGGUCAAAGGUACUUGGUAGUGAUGGAUGAUGUAUGGAGCAGAGAGUCAUGGAAUGAAGUUAACUCUUGCUUUCCAGAUGAUAUAAAUGGGAGUUGAGUAUUGUUGACUACUCGCGUUGCAGAGGUGGCUACUUGUAUUGGCUCUAACAAUUACUUUUCCCAUCAAAUGCAGUUUUUAGAUCAAAGUGAAAGUUGGGAAUUAUUUCAUAAAAAGGCAUGCAAAUCUCAGGGUGUUGAAUUUGAGACAAUUGGGAGACCAAUUGUUGAGAAAUGUAAAGGAUUGCCUUUGGGAAUUGUUGUGGUAGCAGGAGUUUUUCCAGUAGAUGAAGUGAUCAAUGCUAACAACCUUGCAAGGUUAUGGGCUGCGGAAGGACUUGUAAAAGCAUUCAAGAAUGAGAGUUUUGAAGCGGUGGCUAAAAGGUACAUAAAUGAACUUAUGGAUAGAAACUUAAUUCUUGUAAGCAAAAGAAGUUGUUGUGGAAGAAAAAUUAAGGAGUUUAGAGUACAUGAUUUAUUGCAUGCCUUUUGUGUAAGAGAAGGUCAGAACCAAAGUCUUUUGCAUGUUGUCGAUGAAAGUGGUUGCAAUUUCCCUCAGAAAGGUGUCCGUUGGAUAAGAAUUGAAAGGGUGUCAUUUAAAGAUUUUGACAUCUGUGCACUACAUUCUCUGUCAAAACACUGCCGGUCCAUCUUUCAUUUUGGGCGGUCGCCCACAGAUUCAAUAAUUUUGGAAAUUUUCAGCCAAUUGAGGGUACUCUAUGUUGCUGAAUACCUUUCGCCAACUUCGACUGAUGUUCAUAUUCAUUUGAGAUACCUAUGGAUAACCAGGCAAUGUGAUUCUUCUCAUUCAUUUUUCUCCAACGCUUGGAAUCUUCAGACAUAUAGAGUGAAUGAAGGUAUAGAAUUGAACCAUUUGAAGUUUCCACAACUACAGUAUAUUAAGUGUCAUGAACUUUAUGGAUCUUUUCCCAAAUCUGUUCAUCAAAACUUGCAGGUCAUUAAUAGAUUGCGGGCUAGUAAAUGUGACCAAGAGUCUUUAACAAAAGUUCCAUACCUAAAGAAGGUAUCUAUUACUAUAGACGACCCCAAUGAUUGCGUUAAGAACAUUGACUGUUUACAGCAGCUCGAGAGUUUGUCUCUUCAUUUUGAUUCAUGGAGCUAUGGAAUUCCGGAUAUGAUGGCUCAAAUAAUUAACAAUAUUCUUCUCUUGAAAAACAUUAGGAAGCUGACGUUUGAUUAUAUGACAUGUGAGUGGAAGGUAAUUAAUGUUUUGAGCAAGUUACCAAAGCUUGAGGUGCUCAAGUUAAUGGUUUGUGACCUUGGCAAAAAGUGGGAAGUACCAGAGAAUGUGAAAUUCUGCCACUUAAUUUGUUUGAAAAUUUCGUUUGGUAGUCUCAAGCAUUGGGAAGUUGGUGCUGAUAAUUUUCCAAAACUUGAGCGCCUAUUCCUUCAAAGUUGCUAUUCAUUGAGAGAGAUCCCGAAUAGCUUUGCAGAAAUUCCAACAUUGAACUUAAUCCAAUUACAGUGGUGUCUUCCUUCUGCAGUGAUGUCAGCCAAGCAAAUUCAGGCUGAACAGCAUGAAUAUGGAAAUGAGAAUAUGAUUGUCAUUGAGGAAAACACAAUACAGAUAACCCCAGAUGUAGAGUCUGCCUUAUUGCAGCAAGUGAUGAGUCUCACGCCAGAACAGUUAAACUCAUUGCCCCCGGAUCAGUGACAACAGGUCCUUCAGCUUCAACAGAUGCUUCGGCAGCCAACAUAGGCCAAAGGAUCGGACUGAGAGUUCGGAUCCCCAGUACAGUUAUCAGUGAGCUGCUCUUCCACUCAUCCGAACAAAUAUCGAAUGGGGGUCAUCAUCAGCACAGCCACGAAGCAGAAUCCACGAAGCAGAAUGUGUACAAAAUGGUUGCCUUUGUGGCCAUAUAAAGUAUGUGUUCCUGAUGAGAUCCUCAAUAUUCCUCUUCUCACAGAGCUUGGCGUAGAGGCUAGGCCAGUACGACUCCACGGUGACAUUAGCCGACUUCACAAGUGCAGCAAUCUUCUCCGCAGUAACGGGGAUUCCAUCAUCGUGG